rnacentral:rRNA from 1 species
UGGGGAAUAUUGGACAAUGGGCGCAAGCCUGAUCCAGCCAUGCCGCGUGAGUGAUGAAGGCCCUAGGGUUGUAAAGCUCUUUCACCGGUGAAGAUAAUGACGGUAACCGGAGAAGAAGCCCCGGCUAACUUCGUGCCAGCAGCCGCGGUAAUACGAAGGGGGCUAGCGUUGUUCGGAUUUACUGGGCGUAAAGCGCACGUAGGCGGACUUUUAAGUCAGGGGUGAAAUCCCGGGGCUCAACCCCGGAACUGCCUUUGAUACUGGAAGUCUAGAGUAUGGUAGAGGUGAGUGGAAUUCCGAUUGUAGAGGUGAAAUUCGUAGAUAAUCGGAGGAACACCAGUGGCGAAGGCGACUCACUGGACCAUUACUGACGCUGGGGUGCGAAAGCGUGGGGAGCAAACAGG